CAGCCCUCGGUUCUAAUAAGAUCAUUGGCGUGACGGAGGAGGGGGUGCAGCAAUGUGGGACUGAUUACACUCAGCCUCUGCAGAAUAAAACCAUCAAAGUCAAACUGAAAUGUCCUUUUCCAGAAGAAAACAACUCCCUGAGGUUUAGCAACUCAGGAAGUAGUAUGUGUAUUAUUUCUUUGGUCAACUGUGGAUUACUGUAAAUGUCCAAUGAUGAUGGUGCGGCACUGACACGUUCUGUCAAUUCUGGACUAUAAGCCGCUACUUUUUCCCUGCGUUGUGAACCCUGCGGCUUAUAAGAAGUGCAAAUAGUUUAUGGAUUUUUCUUUGCCGACGGCCAUAGUGCAACAGUUAGAAAAGAACAACCAAAAAACAAGCAAACACACCAAUGAGGUAUGUUGUUGUUUGUGCAAUGACGCCAUCUUUUGGAAGAGUUUGUUCACUGCAGGUGCUGCAGUGUCCUUCCAUUUAGUGUUCUCAGCCGGAAGCCAUUCAGUCUUCUAAACAUCCAUAGCGUUCCUAUUCGUAUGGAUUCUCCAUUCAUCGCUCUAAGUAACAGUUGUAAGUUUUACAAUAGAACUAAAACAAUUCAUUCUUACUAAACCGUCCCAUGUGUGAUAUCUGUAGGUUUGUAAGUUUUACAAUAUAACUAAAACUAUUCAUACUUACUAAACCGUCCCAUGUCUGAUGUCUGUAGGUUUGUAAGUUUUACAAUAGAACUAAAACAAUUCAUUCUUACUAAACCGUCCCAUGUGUGAUAUCUGUAGGUUUGUAAGUUUUAUAAUAUAACUAAAACUAUUCAUACUUACUAAACCGUCCCAUGUGUGAUGUCUGUAGGUUUGUAAGUUUUACAAUAUAACUAAAACAAUUCAUACUUCCUAAACCGUCCCAUGUGUGAUGUCUGUAGGUUUGUAAGUUUUACAAUAUAACUAAAACAAUUCAUACUUCCUAAACCGUCCCAUGUGUGAUGUCUGUAGGUUUGUAAGUUUUACAAUAUAACUAAAACAAUUCAUACUUACUAAACCGUCCAAUGUCUGAUGUUGUAAGUUUGUAAGUUUUCUACAAUAGAACUAAAACAAUUCAUACUUCCUAAACCGUCCCAUGUGUGAUGUCUGUAGGUUUGUAAGUUUUGCAAUAUAACUAAAACAAUUCAUACUUACUAAACCGUCCCAUGUCUGAUGUUGUAAGUUUUUUACAAUAGAACUAAAACAAUUCAUACUUCCUAAACCGUCUGAUGUCUGUAAGUUUGUAAGUUUUACAAUAUAACUAAAACAGUUCAUACUUCCUAAACCGUCCCAUUUCUGAUGUUUGUAGGUUUGUAAGUUUUACAAUAUAACUAAAACAAUUCAUGCUUCCUAAACCGUCCCAUGUGUGAUGUCUGUAGGUUUGUAAGUUUUACAAUAUAACUAAAACAAUUCAUACUUCCUAAACCGUCCCAUGUGUGAUGUCUGUAGGUUUGUAAGUUUUAUAAUAUAACUAAAACAAUUCAUACUUCCUAAACCGUCCCAUGUGUGAUGUCUGUAGGUUUGUAAGUUUUACAAUAUAUCCAAAACAAUUCAUACUUCCUAAACCGUCCCAUGUGUGAUGUCUGUAGGUUUGUAAGUUUUAUAAUAUAACUAAAACAAUUCAUACUUCCUAAACCGUCCCAUGUGUGAUGUCUGUAGGUUUGUAAGUUUUAAAAUAUAACUAAAACAAUUCAUACUUCCUAAACCGUCUGUCUGUAUGAGUGUUUUCAUGCACAGUUGUACGUGCUAUCGUAAUGUAAUCAAGUUAGCAUCGUUAGCAUUAGCUAAUAUUCUAUCACGUUUACGAGUGUCUGUGUUAGUAUUAUUAACUUACAAUGGCUGAUUAAAAUAAAAUUCAAUUGUUGCGUUUUGUUGUUCUUUAAUAUUUUUUUUUUAAUGGCCUUCAUUUUUUUCCGCAUAGAAAUUCUUACAUAAAAGAAAACUGCUGUAAGUAUAAUAUUUUUUGCGUCUUGAGUGGAGUAAGUGCAGCCUUCCACCAAUGAGCACACCUUCGAUGGUAAUUUUAAAAAAACAAACGUUUAAUAGUAGAUGCAUUGCACAACCGCUUCUAAAAUGCCCAUAAAAAGUGAUACAUGUGUCCAGCAUGUUUUAAAACAUAGCAAAACGCUGCAGGUAGGAGCAUGACAACAUGAAUGUGCAGUAAAUGAGUGUCUCCAUGGUGAUUCCCCGUUUCGUAUACGCAAAAUCCUCAUUUGAAUAAGUCGGUCUUAGUACAUCACUCGGCCAUAAUAGCACACACUAUUUUAUAGAUUGCACACGCUGGUAUUUGGGUCUUACUAAAUCAGGCCCUUACUGUACAAUGUCUGAUCUCACUGGGAUGCUGACUGAUGGGAUGUUCAUAUCUUCCAGUUUAGAUGAAGAAUUGAUCAUAAUCCUCACACAUGUAUUAAAAAAAAAAAAAAAAAAAAAAAAAAAAAAAAGGUCUUUUCGUGUCUUUCUCGCCAUAAGUUACCGCAUUUCCUGGACCAUAGGGCGCAACGGAUUAUAAGGCGCACUGCCGAUGAGGCGGUCUAUUCAGGUCAGCAGCAUCUUCUCAUCAGUGGCUCACUAGUGCAAAAAGGAAAAGUGUCCCGUGAAAAACCGUCCGACCGGAACUCUCUAAUAACUAAAGUUCCUUAGGUGAAUAAUGUAAAGUCAUUACACCGGUAUGUUUUAGCGCUUCCAUUACGAGAAAUGAGUUCGAACUUUACACUACUUUAAAUUAGAAAUGGCAACAACGGAGGAUGAAUGUCCCAUAACAAGAUGGUAGAGAAAAAGAAGCUUAUCGACACAUUUUACUGUAAAAUUGGGUGUAAAUUUGUACUGUUUUUCAAGUUACAGUAAUGCACUAUAAAAAAAUAAGAUUUUUGUAAAAAAAACA